rnacentral:rRNA from 1 species
UACGAAGGGGGCUAGCGUUGCUCGGAAUCACUGGGCGUAAAGAGCUCGUAGGCGGCUUGUCACGUCGGAUGUGAAAGCCCGAGGCUUAACCUCGGGUCUGCAUUCGAUACGGGCUAGCUAGAGUGUGGUAGGGGAGAUCGGAAUUCCUGGUGUAGCGGUGAAAUGCGCAGAUAUCAGGAGGAACACCGAUGGCGAAGGCAGGUCUCUGGGCCACUACUGACGCUGAGAAGCGAAAGCAUGGGGAGCGAACAGG